AAUCGACUACUGAUAUCGAUUUUACCAAUCCUAAUCUUCACUGCCUAGAUUGGAAUCGAAUCAGCCUAUUGGAUAAGAGUCCCAUUCUACGGAGAAUACGUAUCGGAUUCUCUGGAGCCCGAUCCACAGAAAAACGGAUCGGCCGAAUCGAGUUUAUUAUUGUCAGGGGCCAUUUUUGCAGGGGAGGGUUUCUUGAUUAUUUCUCUCAGUUAACUCAAUCUCGCAGAAAAGAGAAGAGGUCCUGUGGUUUUCAGCCUCUGAGUUGGUUCUUCGUUCUUCCCCAAAUUGAAAGGAAUAAAAGUUUUAGUUUCAAGUAGAAGGGCAUAUGCUUGGGAUGGCCUCUCCUUUCAAGGUCAGUGGAGGACUGUGAUGCACCAUUGGAUAUGUCAACUUCAUCCUUUUCCUUUGGUUCAAAAGCAAAUGUAUGCUGGGGAUGGACCUUUGUUUUACUUGGUUCUAUCUCCUUUUUGAGUUUCUUUUUUUCUGCUAUUCUAUCCAAGCUCCUUCCACAAUCUGAAAAUCGGAUUAUAUCAGCCAUUCAGAAUGACAGGUACUACUGCUUUUUGGUACCUUUGACACUUCCGGUUCUCUUGAUUUCAGUUUAUUUCCAUUGGCUUAGUAUGAAACUCUUCAAGCAUGCUUGAUUUAUUAAACUUCAUUAGUUUUCAAAAGAAGAACCAUAUAACCCCAUGGGGUAGCCGAGUUCGCAAGGGGCCUUAACUAGGAAGCGUGUGGUUCUGAGUUCAACUCCUCUUAUCUCUUUGGGACCACUUACACAGUGGUGUUUAGUACUCUUCAUUGCUUUUGAUAAAUGUUGAAUGAUUCUCAAUUAAUGCCGAUAUGACUUGGCCCAUGCAGUCAAAACCUUAUGAUUAUUUCAAGUUUUUGAAAAUUGGAGCUCAUUGGGAAAAUUGUUGCAACUCAUUUUGUCUCACCCUCAACCCCAGACCUCACCCCCUUCUUUUUUUUUGUAUGUAUAAAAAAUAUUUUUGGAUGCUGUUGAAGUUUAACAAAAUUUAUGGUCUUUAA